GCCAACAAUAAUCUGGUGCCCCCAAUGUAAGUAGCCAAAUUGUUUUAGAACAUCUUACUUGGGGUCUCUCUGUCUCCAUUACAGCUUUCACAGAGCUGGAUGCUCUCUAUGUGAGCUAAGCCCAGUGGUGCCAAUAAGAUGGCCCUGUACCGCAAAGCUUAAUUCAGGAGAGCUAACAGAAGCUGCCAAGCAGGAGCUUCC